CUACGGGCGGCACCAGUGGGGAAUAUUGCACAAUGGAGGAAACUCUGAUGCAGCAACGCCGCGUGGAGGAUGACACUUUUCGGAGCGUAAACUCCUUUUAUAUAGGAAGAAGAUGACGGUACUAUAUGAAUAAGCGCCGGCUAACUCCGUGCCAGCAGCCGCGGUAAUACGGAGGGCGCAAGCGUUACUCGGAAUCACUGGGCGUAAAGAGCGUGUAGGCGGAUUAAAAAGUCAGAAGUGAAAUCCUAUAGCUUAACUAUAGAACUGCUUCUGAGACUCUUAAUCUAGAAUGUGGGAGAGGUAGAUGGAAUUUCUGGUGUAGGGGUAAAAUCCGUAGAGAUCAGAAGGAAUACCGAUUGCGAAGGCGAUCUACUAGAACAUUAUUGACGCUGAGACGCGAAAGCGUGGGGAGCAAACAGGAUUAGAUACCCUAGUAGUC
rnacentral:rRNA from 1 species